AAAAUUUCCAGCAGCAACGUGAACAAAAAACCCUAAAGCUAAGGAGAGAAACUUGCGACGAUUUUGAGAGAAAAAUAGGAUUUGGUGCAGCAAAAAUCAAACAGCAAGCUGCCACAACGAUUCAGCACGUAAAAACAAUUCCGAGGCGCGAUUUCGGCAAGUUUUAGCCAAUUUCGGGAAAGGUGAUAAGGACAUGGUUGGGAAUUCGGAUAGGGCACAUUAUAGGGGAGGUGCUGCCCGAUUUUCGUUAACAUCUUAACUAGUUAAGGAACUAGUCGAGAAGGCGAGCGAAGGGAUGAAUGUUAUGAAUACUCGUGGGUAGUCAAAGUUGCUGAAAAGUCUAAGGUUGUUAAUACUUGCAUUACUUCCAUGUUAAAUAGGUUUCGAGGACAACGACGUGGACGUGAUUAAGAGAAGUCCAUACAAGGUACAGAUGUUCAUUCUGGAGAUCCGUCAGCUUAGGAGUUCCUCUCAGCUGUGUCGGUAGUGCUUCACUAUUCUGGAGCCUAAAUUUUGAUGCUGGUUACUUAAUGUAUACAUUUGUACAUUCAGAGGUACGGCAGGGGCGUUGUCCUGCCAUAUGUUGUUGUUACUAUUCCUAAAGGUCUGUAGACAUAUGAAUGUGGGAUGUUUGUGAGCUCGUUUCAAUUGUGCCUAUAUGGCAUUUUAUGAGUAUUGUUUUUAUGUUACAGCAGCCUUGUCGGCUUGCAUUCCUUUAUGUGUUAUGAGACGAGUGAAGGAGGUCAUACGUACAUGAAAAAGUUUUAACUCAUUUGUUUUUUUU